AGUCAAGUGAAUAAGUGCAUCAGGCGGAUGCCUUGGCGAUGAUAGGCGACGAAGGACGUGUAAGCCUGCGAAAAGCGCGGGGGAGCUGGCAAUAAAGCUAUGAUUCCGCGAUGUCCGAAUGGGGAAACCCACUGCAUUCUGUGCAGUAUCCUAAGUUGAAUACAUAGGCUUAGAGAAGCGAACCCGGAGAACUGAACCAUCUAAGUACCCGGAGGAAAAGAAAUCAACCGAGAUUCCGCAAGUAGUGGCGAGCGAACGCGGAGGAGCCUGUACGUAAUAACUGUCGAGAUAGAAGAACAAGCUGGGAAGCUUGACCAUAGCGGGUGACAGUCCCGUAUUCGAAAUCUCAACAGCGGUACUAAGCGUACGAAAAGUAGGGCGGGACACGUGAAAUCCUGUCUGAAUAUGGGGGGACCAUCCUCCAAGGCUAAAUACUCAUCAUCGACCGAUAGUGAACCAGUACCGUGAGGGAAAGGCGAAAAGAACCCCGGGAGGGGAGUGAAACAGAACCUGAAACCUGAUGCAUACAAACAGUGGGAGCGCCCUAGUGGUGUGACUGCGUACCUUUUGUAUAAUGGGUCAACGACUUACAUUCAGUAGCGAGCUUAACCGGAUAGGGGAGGCGUAGGGAAACCGAGUCUUAAUAGGGCGAUGAGUUGCUGGGUGUAGACCCGAAACCGAGUGAUCUAUCCAUGGUCAGGUUGAAGGUGCCGUAACAGGUACUGGAGGACCGAACCCACGCAUGUUGCAAAAUGCGGGGAUGAGCUGUGGGUAGGGGUGAAAGGCUAAACAAACUCGGAGAUAGCUGGUUCUCCCCGAAAACUAUUUAGGUAGUGCCUCGAGCAAGACACUGAUGGGGGUAAAGCACUGUUAUGGCUAGGGGGUUAUUGCAACUUACCAACCCAUGGCAAACUCAGAAUACCAUCAAGUGGUUCCUCGGGAGACAGACAGCGGGUGCUAACGUCCGUUGUCAAGAGGGAAACAACCCAGACCGCCGGCUAAGGUCCCAAAUGAUAGAUUAAGUGGUAAACGAAGUGGGAAGGCACAGACAGCCAGGAUGUUGGCUUAGAAGCAGCCAUCAUUUAAAGAAAGCGUAAUAGCUCACUGGUCGAGUCGUCCUGCGCGGAAGAUGUAACGGGGCUCAAAUCUAUAACCGAAGCUGCGGAUGCCGGUUUACCGGCAUGGUAGGGGAGCGUUCUGUAGGCUGAUGAAGGUGCAUUGUAAAGUGUGCUGGAGGUAUCAGAAGUGCGAAUGUUGACAUGAGUAGCGAUAAAGCGGGUGAAAAGCCCGCUCGCCGAAAGCCCAAGGUUUCCUACGCAACGUUCAUCGGCGUAGGGUAAGUCGGCCCCUAAGGCGAGGCAGAAAUGCGUAGUCGAUGGGAAACAGGUUAAUAUUCCUGUACUUGAUUCAAAUGCGAUGUGGGGACGGAGAAGGUUAGGUUGGCAAGCUGUUGGAAUAGCUUGUUUAAGCCGGUAGGUGGAAGACUUAGGCAAAUCCGGGUUUUCUUAACACCGAGAAGUGAUGACGAGUGUCUACGGACACGAAGCAACCGAUACCACGCUUCCAGGAAAAGCCACUAAGCUUCAGUUUGAAUCGAACCGUACCGCAAACCGACACAGGUGGGCAGGAUGAGAAUUCUAAGGCGCUUGAGAGAACUCGGGAGAAGGAACUCGGCAAAUUGAUACCGUAACUUCGGGAGAAGGUAUGCCCUCUAAGGUUAAGGACUUGCUCCGUAAGCCCCGGAGGGUCGCAGAGAAUAGGUGGCUGCGACUGUUUAUUAAAAACACAGCACUCUGCCAACACGAAAGUGGACGUAUAGGGUGUGACGCCUGCCCGGUGCCGGAAGGUUAAUUGAAGAUGUGCAAGCAUCGGAUCGAAGCCCCGGUAAACGGCGGCCGUAACUAUAACGGUCCUAAGGUAGCGAAAUUCCUUGUCGGGUAAGUUCCGACCCGCACGAAUGGCGUAACGAUGGCCACACUGUCUCCUCCCGAGACUCAGCGAAGUUGAAGUGGUUGUGAAGAUGCAAUCUACCCGCUGCUAGACGGAAAGACCCCGUGAACCUUUACUGUAGCUUUGCAUUGGACUUUGAAGUCACUUGUGUAGGAUAGGUGGGAGGCUUGGAAGCAGAGACGCCAGUCUCUGUGGAGUCGUCCUUGAAAUACCACCCUGGUGUCUUUGAGGUUCUAACCCAGACCCGUCAUCCGGGUCGGGGACCGUGCAUGGUAGGCAGUUUGACUGGGGCGGUCUCCUCCCAAAGCGUAACGGAGGAGUUCGAAGGUUACCUAGGUCCGGUCGGAAAUCGGACUGAUAGUGCAAUGGCAAAAGGUAGCUUAACUGCGAGACCGACAAGUCGGGCAGGUGCGAAAGCAGGACAUAGUGAUCCGGUGGUUCUGUAUGGAAGGGCCAUCGCUCAACGGAUAAAAGGUACUCCGGGGAUAACAGGCUGAUUCCGCCCAAGAGUUCAUAUCGACGGCGGAGUUUGGCACCUCGAUGUCGGCUCAUCACAUCCUGGGGCUGUAGUCGGUCCCAAGGGUAUGGCUGUUCGCCAUUUAAAGUGGUACGUGAGCUGGGUUUAAAACGUCGUGAGACAGUUUGGUCCCUAUCUGCAGUGGGCGUUGGAAGUUUGACGGGGGCUGCUCCUAGUACGAGAGGACCGGAGUGGACGAACCUCUGGUGUACCGGUUGUAACGCCAGUUGCAUAGCCGGGUAGCUAAGUUCGGAAGAGAUAAGCGCUGAAAGCAUCUAAGCGCGAAACUCGCCUGAAGAUGAGACUUCCCUUGCGGUUUAACCGCACUAAAGGGUCGUUCGAGACCAGGACGUUGAUAGGUGGGGUGUGGAAGCGCGGUAACGCGUGAAGCUAACCCAUACUAAUUGCCCGUGAGGCUUGACUCU
rnacentral:rRNA from 1 species